rnacentral:rRNA from 1 species
AGCGAACGCUGGCGGCAGGCCUAACACAUGCAAGUCGAACGAACCUUUCGGGGUUAGUGGCGGACGGGUGAGUAACACGUGGGAACGUGCCUUUAAGUUCGGAAUAACUCAGGGAAACUUGUGCUAAUACCGAAUGUGCCCUUCGGGGGAAAGAUUUAUCGCCUUUAGAGCGGCCCGCGUCUGAUUAGCUAGUUGGUUGAGGUAAUGGCUCACCAAGGCGACGAUCAGUAGCUGGUCUGAGAGGAUGAUCAGCCACAGUGGGACUGAGACACGGCCCAAACUCCUACGGGAGGCAGCAGUGGGGAAUCUUGCGCAAUGGGCGAAAGCCUGACGCAGCCAUGCCGCGUGAAUGAUGAAGGUCUUAGGAUUGUAAAAUUCUUUCACCGGGGACGAUAAUGACGGUACCCGGAGAAGAAGCCCCGGCUAACUUCGUG